rnacentral:tRNA from 1 species
GGUUCUGUGGUGUAGCGGUAGCACGCCCAUUCGGCAAAUGGGAGUCACAGGUUCGAAUUCCGCCGGCGUCU